CAUCUCACUAUAUUGUUCGCCAGAGUACUACAAGCGCUAGCUUAAAACCCAAAGGACUUGGCGGUAUCUCACACCCACCUAGAGGAGCCUGUUCUAUAACCGAUAAUCCCCGUUAAACCUCACCACCUCUUGCCAUUACCGUCUAUAUACCGCCGUCGUCAGCUCACCCUAUGAAGGAUAAAAAGUAAGCAAAAUGAAUAAAACUCCAAAACGUCAGGUCGAGGUGUAGCAAAUGAAGUGGAAAGAAAUGGGCUACAUUUUUUUACAAAAACAUACGAACGGUAAACUGAAAAACACCUAAAGGUGGAUUUAGCAGUAAGAAGAGAUCAGAGUACUCUUCUGAAAUCGGCCCUGAGAUAAGCACACACCGCCCGUCACUCUCCUUAAUAAACAACCUAUUUUUCUAUAAACACACUCUCUUAACAAGAGGAGGCAAGUCGUAACAUGGUAAGUGUACUGGAAAGUGCACUUGGAAUC
rnacentral:rRNA from 1 species